GGCUGGGGAUAACAUUUGGAAACAGAUGCUAAUACCGAAUAAAACUUAGUGUCGCAUGACACAAAGUUAAAAGGCGCUUCGGCGUCACCUAGAGAUGGAUCCGCGGUGCAUUAGUUAGUUGGUGGGGUAAAGGCCUACCAAGACAAUGAUGCAUAGCCGAGUUGAGAGACUGAUCGGCCACAUUGGGACUGAGACACGGCCCAAACUCCUACGGGAGGCUGCAGUAGGGAAUCUUCCACAAUGGGCGAAAGCCUGAUGGAGCAACGCCGCGUGUGUGAUGAAGGCUUUCGGGUCGUAAAGCACUGUUGUAUGGGAAGAACAGCUAGAAUAGGAAAUGAUUUUAGUUUGACGGUACCAUACCAGAAAGGGACGGCUAAAUACGUGCCAGCAGCCGCGGUAAUACGUAUGUCCCGAGCGUUAUCCGGAUUUAUUGGGCGUAAAGCGAGCGCAGACGGUUUAUUAAGUCUGAUGUGAAAGCCCGGAGCUCAACUCCGGAAUGGCAUUGGAAACUGGUUAACUUGAGUGCAGUAGAGGUAAGUGGAACUCCAUGUGUAGCGGUGGAAUGCGUAGAUAUAUGGAAGAACACCAGUGGCGAAGGCGGCUUACUGGACUGCAACUGACGUUGAGGCUCGAAAGUGUGGGUAGCAAACAGGAUUAGAUACCCUGGUAGUCCACACCGUAAACGAUGAACACUAGGUGUUAGGAGGUUUCCGCCUCUUAGUGCCGAAGCUAACGCAUUAAGUGUUCCGCCUGGGGAGUACGACCGCAAGGUUGAAACUCAAAGGAAUUGACGGGGACCCGCACAAGCGGUGGAGCAUGUGGUUUAAUUCGAAGCAACGCGAAGAACCUUACCAGGUCUUGACAUCCUUUGAAGCUUUUAGAGAUAGAAGUGUUCUCUUCGGAGACAAAGUGACAGGUGGUGCAUGGUCGUCGUCAGCUCGUGUCGUGAGAUGUUGGGUUAAGUCCCGCAACGAGCGCAACCCUUAUUGUUAGUUGCCAGCAUUCAGAUGGGCACUCUAGCGAGACUGCCGGUGACAAACCGGAGGAAGGCGGGGACGACGUCAGAUCAUCAUGCCCCUUAUGACCUGGGCUACACACGUGCUACAAUGGCGUAUACAACGAGUUGCCAACCCGCGAGGGUGAGCUAAUCUCUUAAAGUACGUCUCAGUUCGGAUUGUAGUCUGCAACUCGACUACAUGAAGUCGGAAUCGCUAGUAAUCGCGGAUCA
rnacentral:rRNA from 1 species